CCUACGGGGGGCUGCAGUGGGGAAUUUUGGACAAUGGGCGCAAGCCUGAUCCAGCAAUGCCGCGUGCAGGAUGAAGGCCUUCGGGUUGUAAACUGCUUUUGUACGGAACGAAACGGUGAGCUUUACUACAGUUUGCUAAUGACGGUACCGUAAGAAUAAGCACCGGCUAACUACGUGCCAGCAGCCGCGGUAAUACGUAGGGUGCGAGUGUUCGUAGGGAUUACUGGGCGGAAAGCGUGAGCAGGAGGUGAAAUCCCCGGGCUCAACCUGGGACCUGCAUUUGUGACUGUAUAGCUAGAGUACGGUAGAGGGGGAUGGAAUUCCGCGUGUAGCAGUGAAAUGCGUAGAUAUGCGGAGGAACACCGAUGGCGAAGGCAAUCCCCUGGACCUGUACUGACGCUCAUGCACGAAAGCGUGGGGAGCAAACAGGAUUAGAUACCCUAGUAGUC
rnacentral:rRNA from 1 species